GAAAGUUACUGAACAUCUUGGUGCCUCAUUUGCUCAUCUGUUGAAUGAGGAUAAUAUUAGUCACUUUCCUCAUUAUUGUCAUGAAGACUGAACGAUGUGUCAACAACCUGUAAGGCACUUAGGGCAGUGCCUGGCGUGCCGGAAGUUCUCACAAGCAUGUGGAUCAACAUUGCUGGAAGAGAGUGGAGAUAUGAUCAAACCAGGGAUGACACAGUGGCAUGCAUCGGGAUGCGGAUGAGAUGAGAUCUGGUCUGUGAAAGCCUCCUGCACGGUGCAGGCGGAGUGCCUAGACACUGUGGGGAAUUACGGAGCAGAAUCUUGUGAGCAAAUGUGACACUCCUCAAGAAGAUGAAGAAAGUGUUUUGAAGUGGUCUGGACUAGAGAGUACAUUCCCUCUCCUGGUCAAGGUCAUCCUAGUGCCACAAUA